AGAUAAUCAGCCUCUUAUGGCCAUGUCACUUCCAAUGUGGUAGUUAUUCUAUGGCCUCCUAAUGGGCUUGUUUCAUUAAACAAGUGAAGUUCGCUGGUGGAAGUAUUUCAUGAAGUAGUCAAUGUAUUUCUUCAUGUAUAAGGCUGUGAAUUGAACACAAACUACAUAGUACUUCUACAAACUUCUGUGGAUUUUUCUGGGGUAUGGAAGAGAAUGAGAGAAAAAAGGCAUAUGUACUCCUACUCUGGCAUGUCCAAGACAGUUUCUAUUUUUUUUUAAUUUUUAAAUUUGUUCUAAUUAGUUAUACAUGACAGUAGAAUGCAUUUUGAUACACUGUACACAAAUGGAGCACACUUUCUCAUUCCUUUGGCUGUACAUGGUGCAGAGUGACACCAGUAGUGUAACCAUGUAUAUAUAUAGGGUAAUAACCUCUAUCUCAUUCUACUGUCCUCCUAUUCCCAUAGCCCCACCCUUCUCCUCACUCUUCUCUGCACAAUCUAAAGUUCCAAGACAGCUUCUAAAUAUCACUCAUUUCACUCAAUCCUGAUGUCUUCAUAAGAGAACAGUCUCUUAUCCAGGUUUUCAAUAAUUCCUUGCUUACCUUUUAAUAUUUGGCUUCUGUGGUUACUUGGUAUGUGGAAGGUAGGAAACUCUUUAGAGAUGCAGUUUUGGCUGAUUUCCCAAACAGGAUAUUGAAUUUUAAUUUUUGCUAUGCUACUUAAAUGUACAAAUAGUUUAAUUUCUGGAUAUUCAGAUUUUUAACCAGUAAUAAGUUGCACAAAUGUUCAGAUUUCUCCCUGGGUUGUUGUAAGAUUAAAUGAGACAACACACAGAAAGAAGCCAAAUAUUGUUGGAGAAGAUAAUGCUAAGUGAUGUCAGCCAAUCCCCAAAAAACAAAUGCAGAAUGUUUUCUCUGAUAUAACGAGGUUGACUCAUAGUGAGAUAGGGAGGGAGAGCAUGGGAGGAAUAGAUAAAUUCUAGAUAGGGAAGAGGGGUGGGAGGGAAAGGAGGAGGGCAGGGGAGUAGCAAGGAUGGUGGAAUGUGAUGGAUAUCAUUAUACAAAGUACAUAUAUGAAGACUUGAAUUGGGUGUCAACAUACUUUAUAUAUAAACAGGGUUACAAAAAAUGUGGUAUAUAUGUGUAUUAAGAAUUGUAAUGAAAAAAAGAAGUACAUGUAUAAAGGCAAAAAAAAAAAAAGAAUAGG
rnacentral:lncRNA from 1 species